rnacentral:rRNA from 1 species
GACGAACGCUGGCGGCGUGCUUAACACAUGCAAGUCGAACGGUGAACCCUCUUCGGAGGGGGAUCAGUGGCGAACGGGGGAGUAACACGUGAGCAACCUGCCCUUAGCUCUGGGAUAACCCCGGGAAACCGGGGCUAAUACCGGAUAAGAGACCGCGUGGCAUCACGCGGUAGGGAAAGUUGUUCGGCUAAGGAUGGGCUCGCGGCCUAUCAGCUUGUUGGUGGGGGAACGGCCUACCAAGGCGACGUCGGGUAGCCUACCUGAGGGGGCGACCGGCCACACUGGGACUGAGACACGGCCCAGACUCCUACGGGAGGCAGCAGUGGGGAAUCUUGCGCAAUGGGCGAAAGCCUGACGCAGCGACGCCGCGUGAGGGAUGAAGGCCUUCGGGUUGUAAACCUCUUUCAGCAGGGAAGAAGCGAAAGUGACGGUACCUGCAGAAGAAGCACCGGCUAACUCUGUGCCAGCCGCCGCAGUAAUAC